rnacentral:rRNA from 1 species
UGCGUAGGCGGUUAUGCAAGUCAGAUGUGAAAUACCGAGGCUCAACUUCGGAACUGCAUUUGAAACUGUGUGACUAGAGUACAGGAGAGGUAAGUGGAAUUCCUAGUGUAGCGGUGAAAUGCGUAGAUAUUAGGAAGAACACCAGUGGCGAAGGCGACUUACUGGACUGAAACUGACGCUGAGGCACGAAAGCGUGGGGAGCAAACAGGAUUAGAUACCCUGGUAGUCCACGCUGUAAACGAUGAAUGCUAGGUGUCGGCUCGAGAGGGUCGGUGCCGCAGUUAACACAUUAAGCAUUCCACCUGGGGAGUACGAUCGCAAGAUUGAA